ACCCCUAUGCUACAGAUUGAAGGGGCUAGAGAAACCACUCCUGAAACCCCCAAACAACAUCAAGAAACAACACCCAAGCUUCCCCCAGCUCCAACAAAAAUUCAUCCAGACGCCGAGGAAGCUGCUGCCCUGUUGAUGAUGGCACGGACAGCAAGCUAUGUUCCUAAAACAGAU